UGACUUCGAGUGGCAGAAAAUUUAAGAGAUGCAGUAUCUUCGGAGAGUAAUGACAUAUAAUCCACACAUUCAUGGAAGAAUGGAGACCUGAAGUCUUUGAAAGGGAGUAAGCAGAGAGGAAAAUAGAUGUGAACAGAUGAUCUACCUUAUUUUGGAAUUAAGAAACACUUGAAGAUUAUUCUCAGAAAUGCCAUAAGGGAUAUUUAAAAAUCUUGGAGCACACAAGAAGUACAAGAGGAAUGAAAAUGUCAUGUCUUAAUUUUCCAAAAAAGAGAAUAUUUUAGUUUUUAGUAUAUAAAGGCAGAUUAACAAACCUUCACACAAAUCUAAAUUUUAUUACUAAAUUAAUUGAUUACACUUUGUGUUUACUAGGUCACAGGGAAUUUCAGUGGGUUUACUCUGCAAAAGAUUUCAUGUGAAAUACAUUUUUCUAUUCUGAAAGGUUUUUCAAGAUUUUCAAGGCAACUAAGAAGUUUUCUAAAAAGACAGUGUUUGUAAUACAGGCUCUAUAGAAAGCAUCGUUGUGGAGGCCUCAGGAAACUUACAAUCAUGGCAGAAGGCGAAGGGAAGCAGGCACAUCUUACGUGG
rnacentral:lncRNA from 1 species